rnacentral:lncRNA from 10 species
GCUGAGAUCGCGCCACUGCACUCCAGCCUGGUGACAUAGCGAGACUGUCUCAAAAAAAAAAAAAAAAAAAAAAGCACCCGAAAUGAGUUUUUUUGUAAACUGCAAUUUUCCAAAGUAUGUGUUUGGUGUCCUGUGAGUAGUGCUGCUUUGAUACAGCAGCAGGCAACAUUCCAACAUGUGGGGAAGCCAUGGAGGCCUGUCCUCCUGCAGCCUGUCUCUACCCGCUCACCCUGUCCUGUCCAGGAGCCUAGAAACAGGUUGGUCUCCCAGCAUCCAGGCUUUGGAGAAGAGAUAGCUUGCAAAGGGAUUACUCUCUAUGGAGGACAUUCUUUUGUUUCAUUCUAAUAAUAUGAGAGAUUUUUUUUUCAUAGCAUUUCUACUCUGACAAUACUCAUUGGAAAAGAUAAUCUUGGGUGAGGGUUUUUUUGCUUUUUUUCCUAAUAAUAUAUUUUGCCUAAAACCCAUUACUUCAUUCGAUGUCACCCAUAGGAGGCUGGUCAACUGGAUCUUUUUUUUUUUUUUUUGAGAUGGAGUCUCCCUCUGUCGCCAGGCUGGAGUACAAUGACACGAUCUCAGCUCACUGCAACCUCUGCCUACUGGGUUCAAGCGAUUCUCCUGCCCAAGUAGCUGGGACUACAGGCAUGCGCCACCACGCCCA